rnacentral:rRNA from 1 species
UACGUAGGGGCGAGCGUUGUCCGGAUUUAUUGGGCGUAAAGAGCUCGUAGGCGGUUUGGCAAGUCGGGUGUGAAAACUCCGGCUCAACUCGGAGACGCCACUCGAUACUGCCAUGACUCGAGUCCGGUAGGGGAGUGGCGGAAUUCCUGGUGUAGCGGUGAAAUGCGCAGAUAUCAGGAGGAACACCGGUGGCGAAGGCGGGUCUCUGGGCCGAUACUGACGCUGAGGAGCGAAAGCAUGGGUAGCGAACAGG